UUCCAGCUUCGAAGUGACAUGUGCUGUCAGCAACACCACAAAACACUUCAUUGAUGUUUUUAAGGGGGGUACGGAAGAGGAAAUAAAAUUGCUUAUUUGCCCAAAGCAAUGUUCAGCGAAGUGAAAUCCAUUGACUCCCCGUGGGACUCUCUGCUUCUCCCAAGUGAAUGGAUUUUCAAAUUUGGAACACAGGUGGCCUUCAGGUUGGAUGGACACAGCCCGCCUCUCUGAUUAAUUCGGUGGAUGACGUGCUCCAAGGAGGGCUAGGAGUCGGAGAUUCCCCCCUCCCCACCACCUACUUCCUGUCUGGGGAAAACCACAGGGAGAGGGGAGUGAAGGGGAAGCAGCUCCUAACAGCGCUGGGGGCCUUGCCUGGAAGGGUGUGCAUCUCUUCGGCUCUGAGCACGUACCCAGCAUUGUAUCUGGUGUCCCAAUAA
rnacentral:lncRNA from 1 species